GGGGGCGAAACGGGUUCGACGGGGAUAAAGAAGCUUAGGCUGCGUACCGAGGUUCUGUCUGCUCGUUAAACAGGCAGAAAAAAACAAACGCAGACGACUAUGCGUAUGCUUUAGCCGCGUAAGACGGCUAACGUCUUACCGUUCUUUCCUGCGAGGGCGGAUUAGGGCGUCGAUGAGCAGGAUAGCUGACCUGAGAAUCCUUGGAGCUCAGGGAGGCGAAUUUCAUUCAGGGUAGUCCUUCAGUUACCUUGCCCGAAAGGGGCCUGAAGGGCGAAUAUUGAAUUUCGGGCUACGUAUGUAGAUGCUUAAGUGGACUAUUCUCGGACGGGGGUUCGACUCCCCCCGCCUCCACCA
rnacentral:tmRNA from 1 species